GAUGAACGCUGGCGGCGUGCCUAAUACAUGCAAGUCGAGCGAACAGACGAGGAGCUUGCUCCUCUGACGUUAGCGGCGGACGGGUGAGUAACACGUGGAUAACCUACUUAUAAGACUGGGAUAACUUCGGGAAACCGGAGCUAAUACCGGAUAAUAUAUUGAACCGCAUGGUUCAAUAGUGAAAGACGGUUCUGCUGUCACUUAUAGAUGGAUCCGCGCCGCAUUAGCUAGUUGGUAAGGUAACGGCUUACCAAGGCGACGAUGCGUAGCCGACCUGAGAGGGUGAUCGGCCACACUGGAACUGAGACACGGUCCAGACUCCUACGGGAGGCAGCAGUAGGGAAUCUUCCGCAAUGGGCGAAAGCCUGACGGAGCAACGCCGCGUGAGUGAUGAAGGUCUUCGGAUCGUAAAACUCUGUUAUUAGGGAAGAACAAAUGUGUAAGUAACUAUGCACGUCUUGACGGUACCUAAUCAGAAAGCCACGGCUAACUACGUG
rnacentral:rRNA from 1 species